GGGAUGGUGAUCUAGCUUGGUUAUGAUACCAGCCUAGGGCGCUGGUUGUCCUGGGUUCAAAUCCCAGCCAUCCCA
rnacentral:tRNA from 1 species